ensembl:lncRNA
CUGGAAGCUGAAUGCCUUGUAAACAGUCAUUUUAAAAGCCCAAAUCUUCCUCACAGUUGAGAUUACAAGAGAAACAAAUACUGAACCAUCAUGAACUCAUAAAACUGGUUGUAGCUCUGUAAAUUCAAAUGUUUAACUUCCAAAGCUUGUGAGGAAAACAAAAAUGACUGUGUUUAAAAGCCUGGUGUUUGGUAAGUUCAAUAGCACCUACUACAAUGGACUCUUUUACUCAUAGCUAUGUACUUAAAGUUUGGUAAGUUUGGAAAACAGAUGGUGAAUAUUAUUGUUCUGCUGUGGAUUUCUCUUAUGAUUUUCUUUCUCCCUACUUACUUCUCUGAUUUUUUCCUAACAUAUGUGCUAUCUUCCACUUAUUUCUUCUGGUUCAUUUUUUAAAAUAUAUGAAGGCAAAAGAAGGAAAAAGGGCAGACAACACUUAUAUUGCAGUGGUUUAUCAACAAAGACGUGAUAGAAGAGAAUAACCAAAAAGGAAUUAGGUUAUAGUUCUUCACAUAUUUAAAUGCACAGUCAUGUUUGCACGCACUUUAUCAAUUAUGCCUAAUGUUUGGUUUCUCAGGAAAAAUCCCUCGUGUGCACAUGAAUUUAAGGCCAUUUUUUGAAGACUGCAAUACCUACUGGAAAAUAGAUAUAUAGAUACCAUGAAAAAUUUUGACUGUAAAGGAAGAUACAGGUAGUCUUCUCAAUCUCCUCAGGGUUACUUGAGAGACUGAAUUAUGCACUGAAAAUCACAUAUGCUAUUUCCUUGUUGCUUGAAAAGGUGCUUGAAUUAGUCUGAUUUUUCCCCCAAAGACAUUGUGAGGUUAAACACAGUAAUAUUUAUACUAAAAAAAUACAUCAGGCAUCUGAUGAAGUAUUGAAUUUUCCUGCAAAAUAUUGCAUUUCUACUAUGACUAAGAAGCCUUGAAACCAAAAAUAAUAUAGUAAGAGUAAUGUUCUGUCUGAUAGUUGUGCCUAUCAUAUAAAAUCUCACAGGUAAUAUUUUUUUCAUUGAUUAAUAUCCCAAAAGGCCUUUGUUUCAAAUAUUAUUUCUAAUUACCUGUGGUUUGUAAAUGUGAGCACAAAUAAUGUUGAAAGAAGAGCAGACAGCUGUUUAAUGAAUUGGAUGGAAACACUGAACUGUAAACAUGUACAGAAAUGGAUAUGAACAUGUGUUGUUUCAUAGUCAUGUAUAACAACUGGAUUUGUUCAGAUGGAGGACUUUCUUUGCUUAGUAAUAAACGUUGUGUAAACAGCUUGCUUUUAAUCACAGGAAGCAGAAUACAAGAUUAAAACAAAUGAACAAACAAACAACAAAAAAUAAAACCCACAAAUGAAAACUACAGCAGGUGCAAAGAGAACAAUAACACUAUUUGAUAUAGAACAAGAUCAGGCCCCAAAAUUCAUAGAGAGGUUAAACAAUUCAUGGCAGAAAGGAAUGCUCAGACAGCCAACAUCUCCAAAACAAUCUCUGAAUACUAAACAAUGCACAGCAAAAACUAGAAUAUUCUGUGUUGUCUUUAAUCACUCACUACCACUUUUUAAAAUUUAAAUUCAUGCCUUUGAGUCAGACUUCGUGCCAAAAGCAAGAGGUCUUAACAGAUACAUUUGAAACCUAUUGUUUAGAUCUGGCACUAGCUGUUCUUCCUCCCCCUGUAGCAGUAGGGAGGUUUUCCAGGUAUGUGGGAGGCAAGUUCCCCAGAGCCAUUAUAUUGCUUGUUCUCUGCAUGAUCUCCUUCAUUAAAUAAUCUUUUAAUGCAACAUUAAUAGUAAUUGCAAGAUUACAGUUCAAAAUAUUUGAUAACAUCACACUAUGCUGUUGAAAAGCAACCGAUCUCUUCUCUAAAGCUGGCUGUGGGGGGCAAGCCUACUGUAAAACACUACCAAUCCCUUGGACUGAAAGCACUGCAGCUCUUUUUGUUAUUUCCAUUCCCAGUCUGGAUAUAUUACAGGUGGUUCAAGCUGGCAAUGGAGAAUGGAAGAAAGGAAAAUAACCAGUUAAUAUGUUUUUUUAUUAUGAAGUUUUCAAAGGAUGUAAACAUGGAAUUUUUCAGUGAUUCACAAAGUAGAGAACUAUUGAUCACUUAUUGGAGAUGAUAUUUAUGUACCAGUACUUGCAUACAUAAUGUUUGUUGUCUCUUUUAUAUCUAUGAGUACUGCAGAAAAGUAAGGCUAUUCAACUUUUACUUUUUUGAGCAAUCUGCUUCUUCUGCCAUAUUCUUCACAUUCUAUAUGAUGUUGAUUCUAAAUUUGAAUAUUGGUAGUAAUACCCAUAACAAUAACACUUACCUGUAGAACUGAUCUGGAUCACAGCUGAAAUUCUACUCAUUCAUUUGUUAUUAUUUUUGCUGUAUAAUAAUUCCUUAACAUUGGACUCUUGACUGUUCAUAAGUUGAAAUAAUCAAAGGCUGCAUCAAGGAGCAUGUCAAGACAGAAGAAUCCAGGAGACAUACAAAUAAAUCAUGUUUUCCACUUGCACAAAGGUGUACAUGUCUUGUAAGAACCUCAGAACAGCUCAGGGUAAACAAAUACUGAAAAAGGGCCUAAAGGAAAAGACCAUAUAUGACUGAUAAGAUUAGUACAGAUGAAAUGCUCAAGAAUCACCAG